rnacentral:rRNA from 1 species
UACGUAGGGUGCGAGCGUUAAUCGGAAUUACUGGGCGUAAAGCGUGCGCAGGCGGUUCGUUGUGUCCGUCGUGAAAGCCCCGGGCUUAACCUGGGAACUGCGAUGGAAACUAGCGAGCUGGAGUGUGGCAGAGGGGGGUGGAAUUCCGCGUGUAGCAGUGAAAUGCGUAGAGAUGCGGAGGAACACCGAUGGCGAAGGCAGCCCCCUGGGCUAACACUGACGCCUCAGGCACGAAAGCGUGGGGAGCAAACAGG